UAGGGAAUAUUGGGCAAUGGGUGAGAGCCUGACCCAGCCAUGCCGCGUGCCGGAAGACGGCCCUCUGGGUUGUAAACGGCUUUUAUAUAGGAACAAGAGCUGGGAUGCGUCCUAGUGUGAGGGUACUAUAAGAAUAAGCACCGGCUAACUCCGUGCCAGCAGCCGCGGUAAUACGGAGGGAGCUAGCGUUGUUCGGAAUUACUGGGCGUAAAGCGCGCGUAGGCGGCUAUUCAAGUCAGGGGUGAAAUCCCGGGGCUCAACCCCGGAACUGCCCUUGAAACUAGGUAGCUAGAAUACUGGAGAGGUGAGUGGAAUUCCGAGUGUAGAGGUGAAAUUCGUAGAUAUUCGGAAGAACACCAGUGGCGAAGGCGACUCACUGGACAGUUAUUGACGCUGAGGUGCGAAAGCGUGGGGAGCAAACAGGAUUAGAUACCCCCGUAGUCC
rnacentral:rRNA from 1 species